AGAGAGAGAGAGGGGGGGAGUGAGGGGUAGAGAGAGGGGCGGUAGACAGAAAGGGUAGGGACACAGAGAGCAGAAAGAGAGAGAGAGGGGGAGUGAGGGGUAGAGAGAGGGGCGGUAGACAGAAAGGGUAGGGACACAGAGAGCAGAAAGAGAGAGAGGGGGGAGUGAGGGGUAGAGAGAGGGGCGGUAGACAGAAAGGGUAGGGACACAGAGAGCAGAAAGAGAGAGAGGGGGGGGGAGUGAGGGGUAGAGAGAGGGGCGGUAGACAGAAAGGGUAGGGACACAGAGAGCAGAAAGAGAGAGAGGGGGGGGGGGGGGGUGAGGGGUAGAGAGAGGGGCGGUAGACAGAAAGGGUAGGGACACAGAGAGCAGAAAGAGAGAGAGGGGGUGAGGGGUAGAGAGGGGGCGGUAGACAGAAAGGGUAGGGACACAGAGAGCAGAAAGAGAGAGAGAGGGGGGGUGAGGGGUAGAGAGGGGGGCGGUAGACAGAAAGGGUAGGGACACAGAGAGCAGAAAGAGAGAGAGAAAGAUCCAG
ensembl:lncRNA